UUGGAAUCUUCCAUGAGUUUGUUAUCCACAAUCAAAAGUUAAACACACAUGUCUUAAGAUCAACGGCUGGAAUCACUGAUCGUUUGCUAUGAAGUCAACUUGUGUCAUGACAACCAUGUUCUCUAAAGUCAAAGAAGUGAGAAGAGAUCUAAACCAUCUAUUAUCUAAGAACGCCUUGCAACCUAUGCGGUCAAUAGACUGUCAUUGUUCACAAAUUACUCAGUGUGGGAGCACACCUACUCCACAGACAAUUUCU